rnacentral:rRNA from 1 species
UACGUAGGGACCAAGCGUUGUCCGGAAUCAUUGGGCGUAAAGAGCGUGUAGGCGGCUUGUUAAGUCUUGCGUGAAAUCUCGGGGCUCAACCCCGAGCGGUCGUGAGAAACUGGCAGGCUAGAGUGCGGGAGAGGAGAGUGGAAUUCCUGGUGUAGCGGUGAAAUGCGCAGAUAUCGUAAGGAAGACCAGUGGCGAAGGCGGGUCUCUGGACAGUUCCUGACGCUGAGGCACGAAGGUCAGGGGAGCAAACGGG